GACGAACGCUGGCGGCGUGCCUAAUACAUGCAAGUUGAGCGCUGAAGGUUGGUACUUGUACCAACUGGAUGAGCAGCGAACGGGUGAGUAACGCGUGGGGAAUCUGCCUUUGAGCGGGGGACAACUUUUGGAAACGAAUGCUAAUACCGCAUAAAAACUUUAAACACAAGUUUUAAGUUUGAAAGAUGCAAUUGCAUCACUCAAAGAUGAUCCCGCGUUGUAUUAGCUAGUUGGUGAGGUAAAGGCUCACCAAGGCGAUGAUACAUAGCCGACCUGAGAGGGUGAUAGGCCACAUUGGGACUGGGACAAGGCCCAAACUCCUACGGGAGGAAGCAGUAGAGAAUCUUCGGCAAUGGACGAAAGUCUGACCGAGCAACGCCGGGUGAGUGAAGAAGGUUUUCGGAUCGUAAAACUCUGUUGGUAGAGAAGAACGUUGGUGAGAGUGGAAAGCUCAUCAAGUGACGGUAACUACCCAGAAAGGGACGGCUAACUACGUG
rnacentral:rRNA from 1 species